ACAACUCGCACGAUUUGUUGUGGUUCCUCUAUUUCAGAAGUGUGCUAGAGUGCGUCCAAUGGAAUUACGACCGAAAUAGACGUCAUAGUCGCAACAUGCCCAUGCCCCCAUAGAUCUAUGCACUCCCCCACUACCACUCGACCCACCCAUGGAUGGACCCACCCACUUUUUAGACAGUCUAUCGGUGUCCGGCAGCCAUUUCAUUCUUGCAAGCCUUGGAAACACUUGGAUAAGCUAACUAGCAGCAUGAAUCGAAUUCGACAACAGAGAUGCUCAGUGGUCGGCUGCACAAAUGUCUUCAUGUGACUCCAGCUUCAGAAGACAGAAGAUUGAGAUGGAUUGAGUUAAUAUAUGAUGGCAACGUUCCUGCCACCACUUUGAAUCGGACUGUUUUAUCAACCUGGGCCAAUGUAACAACGGAUUCUCUAAAAAGGUUGUUAUUGAAAGAGGGGUCGAUACUGAAGACGAGGGAAGUGUCAGUAUUUUUUUUUAAAUAAUUCUGGUAUUUGCUUCUUUUAGACAUUUUGUGUGGAGGCUAGUGCCGUUAGCAUGUUGUGGCGUGUGUGUGAGGGGGUGGGGGGCUAGUAUGUAGUGGUUGGGGAUAGGGAGAGACUUUACAGGAGUUUUCAUGUUCGACUAUUAAUAACGUUAUUGAACAAUUAAUCGAGGACGGCUGGCGAGUCUUAGCGAGAAGACUGCGUCGGAGUCCACGGUGAUCGCACGGCAGGUUCGUGAGUGUUGUGCUCUCCACGCUCUUCCCCCCUCCCCCUCCGCUCGAGGGGCCGUAGCAGCUGCUAUGAGCGUCGGUAGUAGCUGCUGUAGCUUGAAGCAGCUGCUACGAGCUCUGGUUGUAGCUGCUGUAGCUUGAAGUUAGCUGCGGAUGCUUGGAGCAGCUGCUACGAAUUCCGGUUGUAGCUGCUGUAGCUUGAAGUUAGCUACGGAUGCUUGGAGCAGCUGCUACGAGCUCCGGUUGUAGCUGCUGUAGCUUGAAGUUAGCUACGGAUGCUUGGAGCAGCUGCUACGAGCUCCGGUUGUAGCUGCUGUAGCUUGAAGUUAGCUACGGAUGCUUGUAGUAGCUGCUACGAGCUCCGGCCGUAGCUAACUUCCAGCCCAGUGCUGCCGUGGGAAAAAAUCAGCGGCACAGUACUAACGGGAGGACACACGAGCGGAGGGGGGGAAAGGGCGUGGAGAGCACAACACUCACAAACCUAACUUCCAGCUACAGCUGCUGCUAUGGCCGCGAUUAUUCAUUACCAGCCCUAGUUAGGGAAAAUGUGUCCUUGUAUCUGUGUAUUCAUGACAGUAGUACAAACAUGAAUAACAUUGCUGCUUUUGGUGUUCAGGCAACCACAUAUGUUCACGGUGCUAUGCUACAUCACGUAGCAUGCCAGAUGGACCCACCCAAGAUGCGCACACAUGGAACGCAGCUUUCUAUGAAAACACUGAGGCCUCACUACAAAAGUACAGGCACACAGAAAACUGUGCUGCACUGAUGUCGGUGUUGGGACCUCAGCUGUAAGAGGCCUCGCUUGGAGGAGGGAGAGGACAACCCAAGUUGUUCAAGUAUGGACUUCAGAGAGCCACAGGAUGCUACCUAUGAUCCUGAUGACUUGAUCACAGUCUUGACUGAGUCAGCAGAUGUGACAAUGGAAUCUUCCAACCCUGUUCAUAAGACACUGUUGGGACAUGGUUUUUGUGCAAAUCACAGGCCUCCUUUCAGUCAAACUUGUAACAAACAUGCCACAUGUGCUGGAGUGGACUCAAUCCCCCAAGAUGCCACAGGUUCCAUUGAUCUUAGAAAGUCAAGGAACUCAGUCUCCCAGAGGAUGUAACAGGAUGCUGCAUGUCCUGGGGUCUGGGCAAUGUCACACAAAGGUGUCAAGAACCACCAGGGUCAACUCCUAUUGGUCACCCUGGUCCAAGACCUGUGAGGUCACCGGGGCCAAUAUAAGGAGAGGUCUCCCCAAGAUCUUCCUCUUUCUACAAUCCUUCGAAGGCCAGCAGGCUGUCCAGUCUCUCUUCUCCUACAUCGCCAAGGGGGGGGGGGGGCCUGGCUGAUCCAGCUUCCUUCUCUAUCCAACCCACAACCGGAGGUCAGAGGUGCAGCUCACAGCUCACCCUUCAAGGAAAUCUCCUCGCCCUUCAAGCUCUACAAAAAUCCUUGUAGCGACGCGAUGUCCUGCAGGAAAACUUCAACCAGCAUCUGAGCACACGGCUCGACCGAAUGGCGAAUGCAGAACUCUACGACCACAAAGCCAGGAGACGUCACAGAACUGCAAACUGAACAGCAACUUCUUUUCCUCUUUCCCUCGGACUGGUAACAUAAUCUGGGCUUAAUAAUUAUACUACGCUAAGCAAGACUGUUUACUUGAUCGGUGUGUGUUUAUAAGUUUGAUAUGUGGUGUGAUAUUGUGGCAACAAGUUAUUUGAAAGUAAUUGUUAGUUAGGCCCUUCACAGGCCUCAUUUGUAGGUCUCUCUGACUCUUGCAUUAUCUGAUUAACUUCCUCACAGACACACGCAUAGUCUCCACCUAGUUAAACCUUCCCCCGUGA